GGUUCCACAGGAGCCUUCCACUGAGAGAUUGCCUGUAUUGAGCCAGGGCUUCCAGAGAGAGAAGUCUUGUGUGAUCUUUGCACCUGAGCAACUCUUCUUGUGUGAAUUUGUUGGAGACCUUCAUUAUGUCAUUGGAAGCUCAUUGGAUGAAAGCAACAAGUGUCUGUGCUCCGUUUCUGCAGCAGGAGGCAGGGGCAAGCUGAAGAUCUCUCUCAGUCAAGUAUGGUGGGGGAAUACCAGAGAUGAUGCUUUACAGUCACGACUGCAGCUCCAGCAAUACUGGGCAGACUAGAAUUAUUCCAGGAAUAGGAAAUAAUUGCAUCAUCUUGGAUUUAAUCUGGUGGCAGCUGCUGGAAUCUUUGGUUGGAAUCCAUGAAGACUCUUCCUCUGUGAAAUCACUGCUAGCCAGACAGCUAACUGAUUAACCAACC